GUUACACAGUGCCCAUAAGUUUAUACACCUUCAUAAUCUGUGCUGUGAACCAUACAUAUUUUACACUUAAUGUUUUAAUGUGUCUCCCAACGUGGCAAUACGUCUAAAACUCUCAACAAAUUUAUUAACUUAAUUAAUUUGAAAGAUCUUUCACAAGCAAAACUCGCAACUUAUUCGAAUACUUUACUAUUAUAAGAUACCCUUUGGUUGAAAAUCAGUUGCUUAUUUCAUAUUAAUUGGACUUUAUUAUGACUAGGAGCUGCCGCCAUUAUGGAAAAAAACGUAAAAACGUAAAAAGCAAAAAGUGAAUUGGUUUAUUUUAAAAGAAUGUGGGUUUAUUUUUGAGUGAUAUUUUAUUUUCUGAAUUUUUGUGUGUUGACAAUAGGUAUGAUUUUGGUUAUGUUGGUUAGAUUUGAUAUUUGUGUUUUAGGUUAGUGUUUUAAUUUGAUGUUGACAAUAUUUUAUGAUGUAAUAUUAUUUGAUUUGUGUUUAGGAUUAAUGUCUAUGUUCGUGUGUUAUAUUUUGUUGUAUUGUUGCAAAUGUAUAAGGUUAGGAUUUUUACUUUUUAUUGUUCUGUUUUAUGGCAGUAUCAGCAAGGUUAAGGAAUUAAGCGGGCCAUAAGUACAUACAUGAUGGAUAAGAUGUAAAGCAAUAGUAAAGAUAUCAGGAUGUGACCAUGUAUUCAAUGUUAUAACGAGCUCCCUGCAAACCGAACCAAGCAAACAGAAAGGUAGAGCUAAAGUUUAGGAUACAUCGGUCUUAACAACGUACAGCACUGAGAGGGAUCCCUUACAGUUCAAUACAUCAUUGCGAGCACUCUCCGAAAUAUUUGGCCUAUGUGGCAUUGUGUAUGAUGUAAGUUCGGAGUGUCAUUUAAGUGGAUGUUUGAACAUUGUGUAAAAAGGGACGCCCUAGGUAUUAUCAGUAUCCUAGAGAUUGUAAUGACAAGAUGUAAGAAUGAGAAAAGUUGCAAAGUUAUUGGCGAGCGGAUGAGAGAGGUAGGUAACAAGUAGAUUUAGAUUUUUAGCAACAGCAAGUCGCACCACAUUUAACAACAUAUAUAUUUUAACAAUUUAGGUCAAAUGUUGUGAGUGGUUAUUAGCAAAUAUGAUUUAAGUGCUGAUGUUUUUGUAUUUGGGUUGUCUUUUGAUAUUUAAAGUUUAUUGAUAGUUACCUAGAAAAGAGAUGUUUUUUCAAGUUAGAUCAUACAGUCCACUGUUCAAGAAGUUAUGAGGCUAUGUUGUUUUUGUAUUUGUCACCAUCGUUUUAAGUUCUCCCCCACAUCGCAUGGUGGGCAGGACAGUUUUGUGAAGAACAUUAACAAUGUUCUUGGUGGGCGGUAUGUUGAGUGCAAAAUGCAACCUCUUUGGUUGACAAGCAGUAUUUAUACAGCCAAAGAGGUUGCAUACUGGCCACCAAGGCAAUAAUCGUGUGUAAAAGAAUAUAUAUAAAAAGAAGAAGUCAAGAUGUGAUUGAGAUAGUUUUGCGUUUUUAGGUUUUGUAUAUUUUUUUGUGUAAAUAAGUUAAUAAAGAUAUGUUAGGUUAAUAAUAAGUGUUUUGUAUUUUUGGCUGCCGCGCUGUCGGUAACAAGUUAAACAGCAAUGUUAAUUUAAGUUUGAUUGAGGAUUUCUGCAUCGAGUAAUAUUUUAGUACAAAUUACUUACAUGUAUGGACUUAGGUCGCAGGUCAAAUAAAAGAUUGUCAAAAUAAAAAAGGAGUGUAAUUAAUAGCUUUUAAUACGCCGUAAAAUAAUAUUUUACAAAUCAGAAAACCCCUUAGGUAAACUCAUUAAAAUACCACUUAUAGUUUAGACUAGUUACUAAUUAUUGCUCCAUAUUCAUUUAAUUCUAGUUGCCUUCUAUACAAUUAUUAUCGUCAAUGUGGUAGGCAGCGACAGAUCGCCAGUCAGUCAGUGCGAUGUAACUACUAAGUUAGAUCGCAGUGUGGUGUAGGUAGGCAAUGUGCGGUGGGUGACGUCACUUGUACUGUACACAAUGUUUCUGGUAAACGGAAGACGUACAAGACCCCUUGACUAGA